rnacentral:tRNA from 2 species
GGGUCGCUAGCUCAACUGGCAGAGCAACGGACUCUUAAUCCGUGGGUUCGGGGUUCGAGUCCCCGGCGGCCUA